rnacentral:lncRNA from 1 species
GGGGAUCGAGGUAUUCUUGUGAUUUCAAGUCAAACAACAAGGGCAACUGCUCUCUGAUGGACCAAACGACUUAAGUUCCCCCUACUGUUCCAUCCGUGGUCGAACCAGUCGUCGUUCCAUUGGUCGAGGGUCCUGCAAUUCAAGGACCGAUUGUUACUCCUGCAGUUGGCUCAAUAGCUGUUGCUGUGGGAAGGUGGCCACUCUGGCUAAGAAUAACCCAUCCCCAAAUCUAAAAAAGAAACCAAUAAUCGUCGUCAAAGAAAAGGUACGACCAUUUUUGUUAGUAAUUUUUCUAUUUAAUUGGACCUCCCAACUAAUGAACAACAUUUUUUUGUCUAGAAGGACGAGAGCAAAUAACCUUUGUUGGUG